UCUUGUUCCAGAUAUUGGGCUUCUAGUGAGUCCUAUUACAAGCCAUAUUCCUGAUUUUAUAACUACACCAUCGAGCCGCGUGGAGCAGAUGUGCGCGCGCGCCGACACCUGUUUCCACGACACAAUCGCCGUGUGCGGCACGAUGGCCGGCGAGACGCGGUCGUUCCUCGACGAGUGCGACAUGUUCGAGUAUUCGUGUGAUAACAACUUGUUUUACACCCACAUAGAUGAUACUGACGACUGUCCGGCACCCAAACCUGGAUAAAGAAGUAUGAUGCAGUUGAAUAAUGAAGGAAUUAUUGUGUUUUGGGCAGUUCUUUAAUAA